rnacentral:rRNA from 1 species
AUUGAACGCUGGCGGUAGGCCUAACACAUGCAAGUCGAGCGGAGCGGCGGACGGGCGAGCAAUGCCUAGGAACCUACCUGGCAGUGGGGGAUCACGUCCGUAAACGGGCGCUAAUUCCGCUUACAAUCAGAUCAGCCUUGGUCGGAUUAGCUAGUUGGUGGGUUGAAGGCAUAAAAAGGCAACGAUCCGUAACUGGUCUGAGAGGAUGAUCAGUCACACUGGAACUGAGACGCGGUCCAGACUCCUACGGGAGGCGGCAGUGGGGAAUAUUGGACAAUUGGCGAAAGCCUGAUCCAGCCAUGCCGCGUGUGUGAAGAAGGUCUUCUGAUUGUAAAGCACUUUAAGUUGGGAGGCGUUACCAACAGAAUAAGCACCGGCUAACUUCGGGCCAGCAGCCGCGGUAAUUC